rnacentral:rRNA from 1 species
CCAGACUCCUACGGGAGGCAGCAGUGAGGAAUAUUGGUCAAUGGGCGGAAGCCUGAACCAGCCAAGUCGCGUGAGGGAAUAAGGCCCUACGGGUCGUAAACCUCUUUUGCCGGGGAGCAAGGGCGGGGACGUGUCCCGGCCCGGAGAGUACCCGGAGAAAAAGCAUCGGCUAACUCCGUGCCAGCAGCCGCGGUAAUACGGAGGAUGCGAGCGUUAUCCGGAUUUAUUGGGUUUAAAGGGUGCGUAGGCGGGCUUUUAAGUCAGCGGUAAAAAUUCGGGGCUCAACCCCGUCCGGCCGUUGAAACUGGGGGCCUUGAGUGGGCGAGAAGAAGGCGGAAUGCGUGGUGUAGCGGUGAAAUGCAUAGAUAUCACGAAGAACUCCGAUUGCGAAGGCAGCUUACCAGUCUGCGACUGACGCUCAGGCACGAAAGUGUGGGGAUCGAACAGGAUUAGAUACCCUGGUAUAU